AGUGAUGAAGGCCUUCGGAUCUUAAAACUCUGAUUGUUAGCGGAAGAACAAGUUGGGUAGUAACUUGACCCAGACCUUGAACGGUACCUAACCAAGAAAGCCACGGCAUAACUACGCUGCCAGCAGUCCGCGGUAAUACGUAGGUGGCAAGCGUUGUCCGGAAUUAUUGGGCGUAAAGCGCGCGCACUGUGGUUUCUUAAGUCUGAUGUGAAAGCCCACGGCUCAACCGUGGAGGGUCAUUGGAAACUGGGGAACUUG
rnacentral:rRNA from 1 species